GUGCUUGCUUUGGCAAGCACAUAAACUAAAAUUGGAAUAACAUAGUGAAGAUCAGCAUGGCCCUGGCACAAGGAUGACACGCAAAUNAAAAAAAGGAAGGAGCAAAGCUCCCCUUUGUC
rnacentral:snRNA from 1 species